UUGGAGUUUUAUGGUUUCAUGCAUGCAUGAUUUUACAAAAUAUGUACGCAGUGGAAUUUUAAAAAUUUUCAGAUUAAAUCUAAUUUAAUCUAAGCAUGCAUAAGAUCAUAUCUUCAAACCAUAACAGGAUCAUCAUAUGUGAGAUAAGAUUCAGAUAUAAAAACUAAAUAGAAAAAAAUAAACAUAAAACAUACCUGGAUAUGGAUCAAUCCUCAAUGCGAAC
rnacentral:lncRNA from 1 species